GAUGAACGCUGGCGGCGUGCCUAAUACAUGCAAGUCGAGCGAACGGACGAGAGGCUUGCUUCUCUGAUGUUAGCGGCGGACGGGUGAGUAACACGUGGAUAACCUACCUAUAAGACUGGGAUAACUUCGGGAAACCGGAGCUAAUACCGGAUAAUAUUUUGAACCGCAUGGUUCAAAAGUGAAAGACGGUCUUGCUGUCACUUAUAGAUGGAUCCGCGCUGCAUUAGCUAGUUGGUAAGGUAACGGCUUACCAAGGCAACGAUGCAUAGCCGACCUGAGAGGGUGAUCAGCCACACUGGAACUGAGACACGGUCCAGACUCCUACGGGAGGCAGCAGUAGGGAAUCUUCCGCAAUGGGCGAAAGCCUGACGGAGCAACGCCGCGUGAGUGAUGAAGGUCUUCGGAUCGUAAAACUCUGUUAUUAGGGAAGAACAUAUGUGUAAGUAACUGUGCACAUCUUGACGGUACCUAAUCAGAAAGCCACGGCUAACUACGUG
rnacentral:rRNA from 1 species